rnacentral:rRNA from 1 species
GUGUCAGCAGCCGCGGUAAGACGAACCGUGCGAACGUUGUUCGGAUUCACUGGGCUUAAAGGGCGCGUAGGCGGGCGACGAAGUCGGGGGUGAAAUCUUUCAGCUUAACUGGAAAAUAGCCUUCGAUACUGGCCGUCUGGAGGAAGGUAGGGGCAUGCGGAACUUCCGGUGGAGCGGUGAAAUGCGUAGAUAUCGGAAGGAACGCCGGUGGCGAAAGCGGCGUGCUGGACCUUUUCUGACGCUGAGGCGCGAAAGCCAGGGGAGCAAACGGGAUUAGAUACCCUCGUAGUCC